UGAGAUUAGGUUAUGUUUUAUCAACAAACUGAACAGUCAGGUUAAGAUGUAACAAAGUACAGUAGAUACAAAAUUAUUCAUAACUUGGUAGGUUUAUCCUUAUAAAUAAGCCCUUCUUUAGCAGAAGACUUAUCAAACACAAAGACAUAAUAUUGAUGAAUUCGUUUAAAACAGAAAGUUGAAACGAUUAAUAGUAUGAUUAGGCUAUUCAUCACUGUACCAGAGAAUAACAGGCUGAUUGAGCUAUUGUUGAAACUUUCUGCUGGGUCUAUCUUGCUAGUUUAUGGCUGGUGAUCACCGUAUCAAUUAUCAGGCACGAAAAUAUGUCACAAAGACCGCAGGGACAGUUCAUCGUGUGUGUUGUUCCUCAUUCUGCAAAGACAGUAGUGAACAUGUUAUCCUAUAGUUUGACACCGUACACAUCGUUUUACCAUUACCAUAGGUUAUCCCACUUCCAUUGUAUAAUUUUGUACAUUACAAAACAUGUGUGCUUUCGUGAAUAAUAAUGUAUUUAUGUAGAUUAACAAUUCAUUGUUACUUUCGCAAUUUUUCAUGUUUUGAAAAAAAAUUAAAAAGUAUUAUAUACGGUACUUCAUUGGAUAAUUAUUUUAUAUUAUGUCAUUCUAUCAAUAUUUUGCAGUUGCAGAAAUUUCACAACCAUUUAUUUUAAUUUAUUUGAAAUAAGUAGGUAGUUGUGAUAAUUUCUAGUAUUUUUAUUUGAUAUGAAUAUCAUCUACCACAAUAUCACCUCCACUACUACACACAAAAUUUCAUCUGUCUCUGUCUUCUUGCGUUUUGAGAUGCAAAUAAUUUGAUCAGUCUGGUGGCACGUAGCCAGGAUUUGAUUUCGGGUGGGGGAAAUGAGAUUUGAUUGCCGUGGAGAUUCAACAAAAAAAUCAACUUACACCUAAAAUUAGCAUUUUCUGCGUAUUCUAAACUUUUUGGAGAACAGAUAAACAGCAAAUUUUCGAAUUUGGUUGAGAAGUUCAGCUGAGGUGUAGAAAUAUUGUAUUAAAAGGGUUUAGAACUAAUACCAAUGAUACGACCCAAAAAAGGCGGGUUUCAGCGUUUUUCAUGAGUUAUCAAGCAUUUUUCUGCGUUUCCUCAGCAUUCUGCAUUUUCCAUUUGGCUUGCACUUCCUUCGAUCCAAGGUCAAAAGAGUCUUUCAGGCUUGAUUCAAUCUCCGGUUGAUUUCAAUUAUGUAUCUAAUCCUAUGAAUUAAAAAUAUUUCUUUAAGAAAUUUAGAGAAAUGCAUUGCAAACUCAAUGAAAAACUGUGGGAAACAAACUCUUUAAUUAAGCAACGUCUGAACUUAGCUAAGCUGAACCUGUGUAUAGAGUUUCGAGUUUACUUUUUCAAGUCCUGUUGUUCUUGAAAAAAAUGACUUCAAAGCAAAGAAUAUAAUAUGAGAUGGACCUCUGUACCUAUUUUGAACGUUCUCAGUCAAUUUGGUCUCGUAGACAAGUUCAUUAGUGCCGGUCCAAAGUCCGAUUAAACCCCGAUUGAAAUGUCUGGGUCAAAUUGUUCUUUUUAUAUGAAUAUAUCAUCUCUGGUUUACUAAUAAGUCUGCUAACACGAAUUUCGUAAUUCGCUAGCCGGCAGUUUGUUCCGUAUUGAGUGGCAAUAAAGUUUCAUAAAUCAUUAAUAUUACAGGAAAUUUGUAUAGCUUUUUAUUAAAAACAUUUUUUGACGACUGAAAAUCCACACAAGCAGUUGAUUGAAGCAGUUCUACUAAACAAAUAGUGUGUAAUUCGUCUGUAUAAUGUCUAAUAAGAUUUUAUUCAUGUUUUAGAGAAAACUAAAUUACUAACUUAUCUUUUUUGUAAAUCAUUUCAAGUGUGUUCUCCUUAGUGUGAGAGAUGUAUGUUGAUGGAAGUAGGUAUGAUAGAUUGUAUGAAUGGUAAACCACCAUCAUUGAGCUUGAUCAUUGUAGACAAGUUCAAUAGUGCCGGUCAAAAGUCCGAUUGAAACCGCUUUCACAUUAACAAACAAUCUGUAAGGUUUUCUCACAAUUGUAUCAUAUUUCAAAUUCAUUACCACGUUUUUCAUAGAUUUUAACUUAUUUUAUGAUUCAAUGAGAAAACUAGAAUCAUGGUUAGCUAAUGUGUAAAGAGGCAUAAAAGCGUGAUGGCCAUUCAGUAAAGUAUAAAAAUAAGCUUGUAUUUUCUUAAAAUGUAUGUAUUCAGGGAUAGGUACUUAUUUUUAUUGAUAAAAUUAAAAAAUAGAUUUUUCUAUCUUGCAUUUCCAUGGUAGGUUUGGCAAUGAGAUUACCACUUUCAGGUUAUUUUGCAAAUUUAUACAUUAAUGAACUCGAAGGAUCUAAAUAAUUGAUAAUAUUAGCCCACUAAAACAAAAUGUUAUUAUAUUAGUACAGAUAUGUAAACAAUAUAAUAAUGUAUUUAUGAAGAUUAUGUAAAACAUUGAAACUAGUAGUUGUGGUUUGUGUUUUUUAUCUAUUAUUUUAUGUUAAAAUAUAAAAACUUUUCAAAGAAAGGGUAACUUACUAUAAUGUCAUUUUAUAAAAUGAGCUUUUAUAUUUGGUUUUGAAUAAACAAGAUAUAUACUUACUAAUGUAAUCAAUCAUUGAUAAAGUGAGUUUCAUUUGUAAAUAAAUAUAAAUUAAGUUUAUUGAUGUUGUUUCAUAGAGAGCAUUUGCAAUAAAUUUUAGUUAUUCAAUAACUGAGCUGUUUUAUUUACAGUUACCAAUAAUCUAUAUGAAUAAAAAUCGAGCCUCAAAUUUUGACAUUCAAUAACUUUUAUUAUAGAAUUUUACAAUAACUUUUUGUAGGUAUAGAAUUCACUGAGGAUUUAAAUAAAAACUCUUAUUAAAUAUGAUUUAAUUAAAUAAUAAUUGAGUUCUAAAAACCAUAUUACUCUUAUUGACCAAGGUAUGAAGAGUCUAUCGCAAUAAACCUUGCAUAUUGACUAGCCUUCGUAGGUAGCCUACUGCUGUACUUGAUUGUUUAUAAUGUCGUUUUCACAGUAAUAUUUUGCAUAGCGCACUUGGUGUAGAUAAGGCUUAUUACUAUGUACAGUUAAUACAAAGAGCAACCUCAUCCAA